rnacentral:lncRNA from 10 species
UUCAGUAAGAAACCAGCUAUACAUUUUAUGACUUAUAUAAUAAAGAAACAAGAAAAAUAUGCACUUUAUAAAAUGAUAAUAUGCUGUCAUAUGGAGCUUUUAAGUUAAUGGGACAUAUAGGAAAUGGUGCCGUUAACAAAAAGAAAAAAGAAAAAGAAAGUAAUAUAUUAUCAUAUCCUCAGUGCUGCUGCUGGCUGCAUUUGGGUCCACAGUGCAAAGAAUGGAGCAAAAACUCAUAAAAUAGGAAACGCGCAAAUAAUGUCACUUUGCGCCUUAGAACGCCGAAGUUUUCUGAAUUAAAAAAAUAAUAAAAACCAGCCUGGCCAACAUGGUGAAACCUCGUCUCUACUAUAAAUACAAAAAAGAAAAAGAAAAAAGAAAAAAGAAAAGAAAAUGCCAGGCAUGGUGGCGAGCGCCUGUAAUCUCAGCUACCUGGGAGGCUGAAGCAGGAGAAUUGCUUGAACCCGGGAGGCGGAGGUUGCAGUGAGCCGAGAUCACACCGCUGCACUCCAGCCUCGGUGACAGAGAGAGACUCUGCCUCAAAAUAAUAAUUAAUAAUAAAAAUAAGGUAACAGCACAGCUCACAUCAGUGAACAUAGGUGUGUGAACCUGCUUGUCUUGGCUUUCCAGCAGGCAGAUGUCCAGGGACAUGCGGCCGGAAGAACCGGAUUUCAGCCCGGCUGAGUCACCACAGCAGCCGCCUUGUGAUGGAUGUAGCCCGCAGGCGGAUCCAGCCGCCUCGAAACAGGGCCUCAAGGGAUUGGAUAAGGCCUACCCACAUUGCUGAGGGUGGAUCUUGUUACUCAGCCUACUAAUGCAAAUGCUUAUCUCUUCUGGAAACAUCCUCACAGAUACACCCAGAAAUUAUGUUUAACCAGCUAUCUGGGCAUCCCUUGGUCCAGCCAAGUUGACACAUGAAAUUACCGAUCACAAACACUUUGUUGCUUCAUUGCUUAUCAAAUAAAGCAACUCUUCUAUUGUCUAUUAAUGUUAACUUCCAAGAUGGUGAGUCAAGUGCUAGCUAGUCAACUCUGUCACAAGGACUUCAAAAUAGUCUUGUAGACACAUCAGAAGGAAGGCUGCCAAUCAUUUGUGGAGUGCUCCAGAAAAGUGAGGACUCUAAUCAU